GACGAACCGUGCGAACGUUGUUCGGAAUCACUGGGCUUAAAGGGCGCGUAGGCGGGCUGUCAAGUCUGGGGUGAAAUGCCACGGCUCAACCGUGGAACUGCCUCAGAUACUGACGGCCUCGAGGAAGGUAGGGGCAUGCGGAACUGUAGGUGGAGCGGUGAAAUGCGUUGAUAUCUACAGGAACUCCGGUGGCGAAAGCGGCGUGCUGGACCUUUUCUGACGCUGAGGCGCGAAAGCCAGGGGAGCAAACGGG
rnacentral:rRNA from 1 species